UCGGGCUUGAUCGCAGUCGCCCGGCUUCCCAAGGCAUCCGCCCAAGCACUGC
rnacentral:ncRNA from 1 species